GAUUCAAUUUGCUCUGCGCUGAAGUCCCUAUGUUCCUCUGGAGGGUCUCAAGCUGACGGCUUGGUAGCUCUGAAACCUGGAGUAUCCACUCCGUCCUGUUUUGCGUCCUGUCCGCCCAAGGGUUUCGGAUUACCUCGUACACCCACAUUCGAACAAUACAUUCGAAUCCAGACCCCAUUGCAGAGCAGUAAUGCGGGAUCAAUCCAUCGAUCUAAUGCAACGGAUAAUUUCAUCGAUGCAGAUUGUAAAAGUGAAACCAUCCUGGGCAAUGAAGAACAACGAAUCGUAAUAAUUUAAGAAGAAUGUUUCUCCUAGAAGAUAGAUUCAGAUAGUACAUAUCAUUCGAGAUAUGUACAAGCAUAUCCGGUAGUAUCUGUUGCAAAGAGUGUGCUACGAGUCGUUGGUUAAUCGUUGAUUAGGAUUUUACUUCAUUUUAUUUAGGAGUUCAGUCCAGAUCGUGAUCUAGGGACAGACAUGAUUCUAGGGACAAACAGAUUUUCAUGAGGAAUAGGU